GGAAAUUGUUAUACAAAACGAAAAUUUUAAGGCGCCACCACGCUGAAAUAAGUUGGACAUCCCUUUAUACCGGAUAAUUGCAUUCGUAAAGAUGGCGUCAAAUAAAUAAAUAAGAAGCCGUAAAAAAUUAAAAUUUUACAGAUCGACUUUGCAUACAGGAGUGACCAAAUAAUUACAAUAAACUGUGUCUACUAUUUCUCAGCAGCACUGGAUUUUUACAACAAAAAAUUGGCAUAUAGUGAAGAAUAAAUAUUGGGGAUAUAAUUUGCAUACAAAAAAAGCCAAAAGACACCACCAGCACACCACGUGGUUAUAGCCGAAUUCACAACAGCGUGCCAAUCGUUCUUCCUUCUCGCUGCUUGGCGUCAACUGGAGAAUCCAAGUGUAGCCAGGUCUUUUUCCACCUGGUCUUUCCAACGGAGUGAAAGCCUUCCUCUGCUUCACCCGGCGCGACAUGACCUA